CCGAGGUUUCCCGGGGCCCUCCCUCUCGUUCCCGGGAGGGAGGCCCCCCCGAUCUCUCUUUCCACCGUGUUGAAUUCGACCCCUGUUGCUUCAGCGGGCGGGCCUGGAGGGUGAUGCUAGCUCCAACCCUCCACCGCCAUUGUGCCCGCUGGAGAUCUCCCUGUAACAUUCUGAUGGGUUUUAAGUGAAGAUUUGUCUGAGUGGGCGUGAAAUUCGUUAUA
rnacentral:misc_RNA from 1 species